AUAAUUUUUUCAAUAACUGCCAUCCACCUCUUUUUUUCGCGAACAUUUGGGCCAGAAAAACAAUGUAACUGAUUUGGGCCAGAAAAACAAUGUAACUGAUUUGGGCCAGAAAAACAAUGUAACAGAACAAAGGCUUAGCUGCAGCCCUUUAGAUUCUGCCCACAGAUGUCAUGCACCCCUUGCACCCCCGCUUAAGACGCCACUGGUCAUGGUGUCAAGUUUAUUGUUUAAUGAUAACCUCCUCUUUCCUUGUUUUUUGAUAAUGGGCUUUCCUAGUCAGGGUUCUACAUUUAUUCUUUGACCAACGUUCAUACGGUCCGUACAGUUUUCUAUCGCUGCUCGUUUUUUUAUAUAUCUCAUUUUUCUACUACGAUUUCGUUUGAAAUACAAAUGGAUGAUGUGAGUGCAGACGACGAUAAGUUUUCCGUCAGAGUCGGAAACUCGAGUAUCGUCCUCGGACGUUCCCCUGUUUUUAUUUUCAUUUGCCGAUCAUGUGCCCGACGGAGCCGCCGCAAUCUUGGCCUUUUUCGAUCCGGAACUUGUACCUCACCCCGACGACGCCCAAGCAGCUCCUCCCUGUCCAAAAUGUAACGAUAAGUCAUUAGUUUCCUGUCAUUUCUUUCUCCAUGCGGCAUGUUAGGAUUUACAGCUGAUUUAUACUUUAUUUCUCCCCACUAGGUCCUAUGUUCGCCAGAGAACCCAGCGUUCUCGUGUCGGCUACGAGUACCGAUGUUUGCGGAGCAAGACACUUAUCCCUGCCAGGCGCACCUACAGUCAACGUGGCCCGAAACGAAAGACUGUUUGCACUGGGUCUUUGUCCUCAAUAGUGAACACUUUCUUCCAGCAUGUUUCAAUAUCUACGAAACAGGUCCUGUUUCUGGCUUUUGCGUGGGUGUGCGACUUGAAUGUCACGUUUUCAAGUCAGCACAUUGGCAUAAGAAGCCACACUGCUACUGAUUAUUAUCGUUCAUUCGGGGAAGUGGUGGAAAUAAUCGUAUCGC
rnacentral:lncRNA from 1 species